rnacentral:rRNA from 1 species
UACGUAGGGCGCAAGCGUUGUCCGGAAUUAUUGGGCGUAAAGAGCUCGUAGGCGGUCUGUCGCGUCGGAUGUGAAAGCCCGGGGCUUAACCCCGGGUCUGCAUUCGAUACGGGCAGACGUAGAGUGUGGUAGGGGAGAUCGGAAUUCCUGGUGUAGCGGUGAAAUGCGCAGAUAUCAGGAGGAACACCGGUGGCGAAGGCGGGUCUCUGGGCCGAGUACUGACGCUGAGGAGCGAAAGCGUGGGGAGCGAACAGG